CCUACGGGUGGCAGCAGUGGGGAAUAUUGGGCAAUGGGCGCAAGCCUGACCCAGCAACGCCGCGUGAAGGAAGAAGGCUUUCUGGUUGUUAACUCCUUUUGUCAGGGACGAAGCAAGUGACGGUACCUGACGAAUAAGCCACGGCUAACUACGUGCCAGCAGCCGCGGUAAUACGUAGGUGGCAAGCGUGAUCCGGAUUUACUGGGUGUAAAGGGCGUGUAGGCGGGACUGCUAGUCCGAUGUGAAAACCACGGGCGCAACCUGUGGUCUGCAUUUGAAACUGUAGUUCUUGAGUACUGGAGAGGCAGACGGAAUUCCUAGUGUAGCGGGGAAAUGCGUAGAUAUAAGGCGGAACACCAGUGGCGAAGGCAGACUGCUGGACAGCAACUGACGGUGAGGCGCGAAAGCGUGGGGAGCAAACAGGAUUAGAUACCCUAGUAGUC
rnacentral:rRNA from 1 species